rnacentral:rRNA from 1 species
AGCGAACGCUGGCGGCAGGCCUAACACAUGCAAGUCGAACGAUCCUUCGGGAUAGUGGCGGACGGGUGAGUAACACGUGGGAACGUGCCCUUUGGUUCGGAACAACUCAGGGAAACUUGAGCUAAUACCGAAUGUGCCCUUCGGGGGAAAGAUUUAUCGCCAUUGGAGCGGCCCGCGUCUGAUUAGCUAGUUGGUGAGGUAACGGCUCACCAAGGCGACGAUCAGUAGCUGGUCUGAGAGGAUGAUCAGCCACAUUGGGACUGAGACACGGCCCAAACUCCUACGGGAGGCAGCAGUGGGGAAUCUUGCGCAAUGGGCGAAAGCCUGACGCAGCCAUGCCGCAUGAAUGAUGGAGGUCUUAGGAUUGUAAAAUUCUUUCACCGGGGACGAUAAUGACGGUACCCGGAGAAGAAGCUCCGGCUAACUUCGUGCCAGCCGCCGCCGAAAUAC